rnacentral:rRNA from 1 species
UACCUGCGGCAAGACGAAAAGACCCCGGGAGCUUUACUGUAUCCUGAUAUUGAGCUAAGUUUUAAGAUGCGUAGCAUAGAGAGGAGACUUUGAGACCCUAUUCUCGGAUAGGGUGGAGUCGCCAGUGAAAUACUCUUCUUUUUGAAGCUUUGUUCUAAUCGACCGCACUUCACUGCGUUACGUGCGAAUUUCGCACGAGCAUAGCGAAGUGUGGUUGAGACAGUUUCAGGUGGGCAGUUUGAGUGGGGCGCUCGCCUCCUAAAAAGUAACGGAGGCGUUUAUAAGGUCGGCUAGGUACGGAUGGAAAUCGUACCGAUAGGGCAAAGCCACAAGCCGGCUUUACUGCAAGACAGACAUGUCGCGCAGUUACGAAAGUAGAACUUAGUGAACCGACCCUAAUCGUUGACUUGUGGUUGGCAGUUUACUGUUAAUUAUUUGUCAGCGCGCUUAUAGGCGCGGGGAAGAUCAUCGGAUAAAAGCUACCCCGGGGAUAACAGGCUAGUAGUGCCCGCGAGUCCAUAUCUACGGCACUGUUCGGCACCUCGAUGUCGGCUCAUCUCAUCCUGGGACUGGAGAAAACAUAACUUCUCUCCUUUAUAGAAAUAUAAAGGUAAUAAACAAGCCCAAAAUGGGGAAAGCCAUUAUUAAACAAUUUGAUACAUAUUGAUAUAUUCGCAGGUUCCAGGUAUAAUUGCUUAAUAAA